rnacentral:tRNA from 1 species
GGGCGUGUAGCUCAGGUGGUUAGAGCGCGUCACUGAUAAUGACGAGGUCCGAGGUUCGAGUCCUCGCACGCCCA